AUUGAACGCUGGCGGCAGGCUUAACACAUGCAAGUCGAGCGAGCGGCGGACGGGUGAGUAAUGUCUGGGAAACUGCCUGAUGGAGGGGGAUAACUACUGGAAACGGUAGCUAAUACCGCAUACCAUCAGAUGUGCCCAGAUGGGAUUAGCUAGUAGGUGGGGUAAUGGCUCACCUGGGCGACGAUCACUAGCUGGUCUGAGAGCAUGACCAGCCACACUGGAACUGUGACACGGUGCAGACUCCUACGGGAGGCAGCGGUGGGGAAUAUUGCACGAGGGGCGCAGGCCUGAUGGAGGCAUGCCGCGUGUGUGAAGAAGGCGUGCGGGUUGUAAAGCACUUUCAGCGAGGAGGCGUGACUCGCAGAAGAAGCACCGGCUAACUCCGUGCCAGCAGCCGCGGUAAUUC
rnacentral:rRNA from 1 species